rnacentral:rRNA from 1 species
UACAUAGGGCGCAAGCGUUGUCCGGAAUUAUUGGGCGUAAAGAGCUCGUAGGCGGCUUGUCACGUCGGGUGUGAAAGCCCGGGGCUUAACCCCGGGUCUGCAUUCGAUACGGGCAGACUAGAGUGUGGUAGGGGAGAUCGGAAUUCCUGGUGUAGCGGUGAAAUGCGUAGAUAUCGAGAGGAACACCUGCGGCGAAGGCGGGUUGCUGGGCUGACACUGACGCUGAUGCGCGAAAGCCAGGGAGCGAACGGG